rnacentral:rRNA from 1 species
GACGAACGCUGGCGGCGUGCUUAACACAUGCAAGUCGAGCGGAGCGGCGAACGGGUGGGUAACGCGUGAGUAACUGCCCCCCUCUCUGGGAUAACAGUUGGAAACGGCUGCUAAUACCGGAUAGUGGGGGAUGAUUCGGGUCCUAUGAGCUUGUUGGUGGGGUAGUGGCCUACCAAGGGGACGGCGGGUAGCCGGCCAGGGAGGGGGACCGGCCACAUUGGGCUGAGGUACGGCCCAAACGCCUACGGGAGGCAGCAGUGGGGAAUAUGACACAGGGGGGGCAACCCUGAUGCAGCAGCGCCGCGGGCGGAAUGACGGCCUUCGAGUUGUAAACCGCUUUCAGCCAAGACGCGGUAGUGGCAGAAGAAGCAACGGCUAACUACGUGCCAGCAGCCGCGGUAAUAC